UGGGGAAUAUUGCACAAUGGGGGAAACCCUGAUGCAGCGACGCCGCGUGAGCGAAGAAGGUUUUCGAAUCGUAAAGCUCUGUCCUAUGAGAAGAUAAUGACGGUAUCAUAGGAGGAAGCCCCGGCUAAAUACGUGCCAGCAGCCGCGGUAAUACGUAUGGGGCGAGCGUUGUCCGGAAUUAUUGGGCGUAAAGGGUACGUAGUCGUUUUAUUACGUCAGGUGUGAAAGCGUUAGGCUUAACCUCAUUAAGCACUUGAAACUGAUAGACUUGAGUGAAGGAGAGGAAAGUGGAAUUCCUAGUGUAGCGGUGAAAUGCGUAGAUAUUAGGAGGAAUACCGGUGGCGAAGGCGACUUUCUGGACUUUUACUGACGCUCAGGUACGAAAGCGUGGGGAGCAAACAGG
rnacentral:rRNA from 1 species